rnacentral:rRNA from 1 species
GCUUWUACUCGACCGUCAGCGGCACGUGCGAUCGCGCGAACUUUCACGAGCGAGCGCGGUCACGAAGCCCUGACGAGUAGGAGGGUCGCGGCGGUGAGCGCAGAAGGGCUGGCCGCGAGGCCGUCUGGAGCCGCCGUCGGUGCAGAUCUUGGUGGUAGUAGCAAAUACUCCAGCGAGGCCCUGGAGGACUGACGUGGAGAAGGGUUUCGUGUGAACAGCCGUUGCACACGAGUCAGUCGAUCCUAAGCCCUAGGCGAAAGCCGAUGUCGAUGCGGUGUAGUUUUUACGAUAAUAAUCGAUCUUACGGCGACGACGACGACGACGACGACGUCGUCGUCCAUUGACGAAAUAGACGAAAUCGUCGUCGUCGUCGUCGUUCGUAAUAAUAAUAACGCGAGAGCACACACCCGUCGGGCGAAAGGGAAUCCGGUUCCUAUCCGGAACC